GAGUUCACUGGCUCUCAAAUUAAAGGGGGGGUGGUAUUCUUUUCAGGCACAACACAAUCAGCAUUCUUGUAUCUGCUCAUUCUCUUUGCACUGAAAUCUGUGAAAAACUCCAUCGGCCAUAACAGGAACCGGCUAAAAGAGUGUGCCGAGCUCUCAGCUCCCCACUGGAACUUCUCACAACAUCACCAAUCUUUUCAACAGGGCUUGGUGCCUUUAACAACAGGUAUUGCUUCCAUGUGGCAUUUGAAUUACCAAGGGUGUCCUGUACUCCAUAUGAGGUUUCACAGUUCAGUCACAGCUGUGGAUUCUUGCUUCCAGAGAGAUGAGAGGAAUAUGCUCCCUGAGAGAGAUCUGGGAUCUCAGGGAACAAGAGCUACUAACCUAGCAACCAUACAAGGCACAGUGAGUGUUUUCUAGGAAAUGCACUUCUUCUCUACUGGAGAUUUUGUCACAUGAUUUUUUUUCUGCAGAUAUUGGAAGUUCUGAACUAAUGCUUGUUAGCAAAGUCCUUAUGAUGUGGGGGUGAGGUUCUUGACUCCUGACAACAGCUGUUUGUAAAGGCUGUACAACUUCUCCAAGAAGUUUCUCUUCUCAACCAAAUCCCUUCUGCCAUCAGCUUUCCUCAGAACAGUGUGUCUCUCUUCUUCUUUUGCUUGCGGUGCGAGACUUCCAGGAAACGAGGCGAGGCGGGAGCCAACCCCUCUGGGGACAGCUGUCCAACCAAGAGGAAGGGAGUGAGAUUCUAAGAGGAGCCUAAUUCUUUAAAGGAAGCAGCUGCUUUGGGUGAUUCCAGGGAUUCUGCGGUGUGAAGGACAGCAAGAGAGCAAGACAUAGCCAUCCAUAGAAGAGCAACAAUAUUAAUGAUAAAAAAUACCUACACCUACAGAAACACAAACAAGGCAGGACUGAGAGGCAGCCAUGGGCUAAACAUAGGUCCAGAGAGGUCUUACCCUUUGGAAGGCUCAAAGCUCUCAUUUUAUGUCUGACUUCCAAGGCCCGACCUGUAUGGACGUAUUUGGAACAGAGUCAAACCAACGACUACAAAUGCACACACAGGCAAAGAAAGCAAGCUUUUGAAGAGGACCUUUCUAGGCAUCAGAUCACACACUGAGGCAAAUUGGUAAUGGCUUCCUCUUAAAAUGGUUAUUCCUGCAGGCAAGCAAAUCUUUCAGCACUGUAUAACUCAGACACCAGAGAUGGGAAAGAAGCCCUGUUAUCUCUCAAUUGACUAAUUACAAAACAAAAGCAAGCUAAUUUGCCAAAUGUGCAUUGUGGCAAGGUCAUGUCAAAAUAAGCAGGCAGUCUUUUGCUCUUAAAGGCCCACCGUUUCUCCCCAUGGAAGCUUUGUCUUGUCUAGCGAGGCCUCAAGGGGGAAGCAGGAAGAGGAUGGUGGUGGGCAGAGUGCGUACUCUAUUUG
rnacentral:lncRNA from 1 species